UCAUCCACCGGAUGGAGCUGGCGGCCACCUCCACACCCUCCUGCCUCCACCAGCCGCCUUCCGGUACCGCUCUGGAGUCGGGCCACACAGGAGCAUAGGGGACCUGGAAGACCGCAGUCUGUUUCUGUACUGUUAAUGUUCAGAAGUCUACUUGUCCAGCCUCCUGCUUGCUGUGAAACCCUUCCAGUUUCCAUUCACUGGUCCCCAUGGAAGUUCAGCAAGCGUCAAUGGGACAAGGAGAGAACAGGCUGAGGACAGCAAUCCCUAAUUGGCCUUCUCAGGGUGGAGAACCCCAGCACCAGGGCCCAAGGACCUCACAGGCCCUCCAAGGAACCCCUUGCAAUCUAAGUACAGCCCAUAGGAUGCCAGGCCCCCUCUUCCCCAUCAUUCUCCUUUGGAAUCAGGGCAGAAGAGAUGCCACCUUCUCAUACCCAGAUACAGAGGUGAGGGAGGGAAAGGGCAGCUGAUGGAACCCUUAAAAGUCAACCAUUUUUUAAUGAUUGCAUAUUCCUUGGCUGCUUGCGUGAUGUCAGUAUGCUUUGCCUCUUCUCUGCUGCUGUCUGGCACCAGGAUGGCUUCACCCUAUGCGGCUGCAGGGUCAUUGAGAGCCCCCUUCUCCAAUCCUCUUGGUACCUUCCUGCAACCAUCUCACAGAAUGGGCCAUGGGUACCAACUCCCAACAGCCGUGUUUUGUUCACCACAGGACACUCAGAAUCCUAUUGCCAUGGCCACCUUCUGUUUCAAGCCCUAUAAAUACGGGGACCCUGCAUACAGAACACCAGUUGCUGAGCUGAAGCAGCCAGUGAUACUUGUGAGAUAUAUUAAGAAGUUUAUUUCCUGGAAUGAGGAUGAGGAACCCACCUUUCAAGGAGAGACAGAUGAUGGAAAUGGGUGAUGACAUCGAGCCCAUGGAGGUGGAUUCACCUGGUAGUGAUGAAGAGCCACAUGGAGGUGGGUCAACCUCUGGAGAAUGACCUGAUGGAAGUGGAUCCACCUCCAUUGGAGCAGACCGGUCACCAAGCCAUCACUGUCAGGCCAACUAUGAAGAGAUUUGCGCCCCAGAGAUUAUCAUAGGGGCGCUGGGAUCAAUAUGCCUCCCUCCAAACAGCUGCCUCGGUGCAGGUGCUGAUCCUCCCAUCCCAUAGGUUUAUUAUAACCCGGGAAAGCCCCAGCUCAAGGUCAUCCCGUGGGCUCACAUGGAGCCUUCAUUUCCUGGUAAUUCUUCUUUUGACAGCCAAGGCUGUUACGAGCCCAUCCUUCCUUUCCUCCUUCCUCAUCCUUUCUUAAGGGAAAGAAGGGAUUAGAAGUGACAGCUGUACCUGUGGAGAAGCAGACUUUAGUUCAGACAGGAAGAAGCGCUGAACUUCAGCAGGAAGAUCCAAUCCAGAUGCUCCACGUGGACUUUUUUUUUCAAGGUUAGACAGCCAACAAUUUAAAAUAACAAUUCAAAUAAUAAAAACACAA